rnacentral:rRNA from 1 species
AAACUAACAAGGAUUCCCCUAGUAACGGCGAGUGAACCGGGAAGAGCUCAAAUUUGAAAUCUGGCGUCCUCAGGGCGUCCGAGUUGUAAUCUAUAGAGGCGUUUUCCGUGCCGGACCGUGUCCAAGUUCCUUGGAACAGGAUAUCAAAGAGGGUGACAAUCCCGUACUUGACACGACGACCGGUGCUCUGUGAUACGUCUUCUACGAGUCGAGUUGUUUGGGAAUGCAGCUCAAAAUGGGUGGUGAGUUCCAUCUAAAGCUAAAUAUUGGCGAGAGACCGAUAGCGAACAAGUACCGUGAGGGAAAGAUGAAAAGCACUUUGGAAAGAGAGUUAAACAGUACGUGAAAUUGUUGAAAGGGAAACGAUUGAAGUCAGUCGUGACCGAGAGGCUCAGCCGGUUCUGCCGGUGUAUUCCCCUCGGUCGGGUCAACAUCAGUUUUGUCCGGUGGAUAAGGACGGUAGGAAGGUGGCACCCUCGGGUGUGUUAUAGCCUGCCGUCGCAUACAUCGGGUGAGACUGAGGAACGCAGCUCGCCUUUAUGGCCGGGGUUCGCCCACGUCCGAGCUUAGGAUGUUGACA